CCCUAGUACGGCGAGUGAAGCGGGAUGAGCUCAAAUUUAAAAUCUGGCAGCCUAAGGUUGUCCGAGUUGUAGUCUAGAGAAGCGUUUUCCGCGUAGGCCUGUGUACAAGUCCCUUGGAAUAGGGCGUCAUAGAGGGUGAGAAUCCCGUCCUUGACACAGAUCAUCUAUGCUUUGCGAUGCGCUCUCGAAGAGUCGAGUUGUUUGGGAAUGCAGCUCAAAAUGGGUGGUAAAUUCCAUCUAAAGCUAAAUACUGGCGAGAGACCGAUAGCGAACAAGUACCGUGAGGGAAAGAUGAAAAGCACUUUGGAAAGAGAGUUAAACAGUACGUGAAAUUGUUGAAAGGGAAACGAUUGAAGUCAGUCAUGUGGUUCGAGAUUCAGCCGGUUCUGCCGGUGUAUUUCUCGAGCUACAGGCCAGCAUCAGUUUCGACCGGUGGAAAAAGUUGGAGGGAACGUGGCAUCCUCGGAUGUGUUAUAGCCCUCUUUCACAUGCAUCGGACGGGACUGAGGAACGCAGCGUGCCUUUAUGGUCGGUCUUCGGACACGAACGCGCUUAGGAUGCUGGCAUAAUGGCUUUAAACGACCCGUCUUGAAACACGGGACCCA
rnacentral:rRNA from 1 species